GAGAACAAGACACUAACUGUUAGAAAUUGAAAACAGCACCAAAAAGAGAAAAAAACUGUAAAUUUCAUCCAGUAAUAAAUAUAGCAUGGAUAUGGCCUACCUGCCUACAACAACUGACAAAAGUUGAUGAGGUGCUGAUUCAAUGUUAAGAACUCCAAAUCAUGAACAAGACAUUUACAGCUUUCCAUGCAUCGGAGCAUAAUGUCAAUGAACUAUCUGAAUGAGGUGCUUUACUCUCAGGAAAAAGUUUCUAGAAGCCUUUUAUAAAAGGCUCGAUUAACCAGAAAGAUCCACUAGAUGGAGCUAAAAGGACACUUUUCUAUCAAGUUCUCAUAAACAAGUCAGCUAUUGAAAAAGAAAAAAAGAGAAAAUAAUUCAUCUUAACUAUUUGCAUGAGGCAUUUACCAACUGAGUGUUAUCUGACCUCUAGUGUGUAACACGUAUUUAUUAAAUCAUUCAGUUAGAGCAUGGGUCUCAUGACACAAAGAAAGAAAUUCAUUUUCCCAUUUUGGGCAACCAAUUGACAAUAGUUUGGUCACAGACUGGAGUGCAGCUACUUUAAGAGUAAAGUGAGGAUGGGGGUCAUCUGCCAGUCUAAUCAAACUGUGCAAUCCACACAGACUCCUUCGAGAAAACAAAAGCCACUUCAGGCAUGGCUUUGACUGGAUUUUUCCACAAAGUUCAGUGAGUGAAUUUAUCAAAACAUCUGUAGAGACUUUCUAGUGUUCCCGUAUUAUUGACCAAAGAGUUUCUUUGACUUUCUUUUCUUGAUUAGUGGAUGAGUCUUUUCAAAGCAGUGCUGGCAAAUUAGAUUUUAGCUUUAAUAGAGAAACAGUUUAAUUGAUUAGUAUACUGUAGUAUUGAAGUAUAACAUGUCUCCAAUAAGACCCUCCAAAGUAGAUUCUAAACUACUUGAUUUAUCCGUUUCCACAACCAUGAGAACCUUGACUUACACGCCAGUCCAAGCCUAAAUUAAAAAAACAAAAGAUUAAUGGAUACUGGUGGUGACAUGCUGCUAAUGGCCACAACUUCUGUCCAAGUGUUUAUUAGAGACACUUGCAUGAAGUGAAGGACAUGCUGUUGUGGUAGAGAACACGGACUAUGAGUGCCAUUUAAAGGCUUCAAAUCACUGUAAUUUGUACUCUGUACAAAGGGUCAUAUCCGAUUGCUGGCAGCAGUAUAAUUGUGUGGUUGUCAUUGGCGACAUUCCACAGCUGGUGCCCAGUUGGCCCUCAAAUUACACAUCAGCAGGGCCCCACCUACAACCCCCCCAUCCCCCCCCACACACCUACCUAUCUUGGAGAUCUUAUAAAGGUGUAAUCUUACGACUGGAUGGCCACGCACACUUUUUGAAAGAUAUGGUCAUUGAUGUAGUAGACAAAGACAAGCACAGAUAAAAAGCAUAAUCAGGAUGGAAAGAGAUUAAGAAAAAAAAAAGAAAAAAAAAAAGGAGUUAGAUUCUAAACUAAAAGACCAGAAGAAUUGGACUUGGAUAACUGUAAAUGGGAACGUCAAAGGAAGAGUACCCCCCACCCCCAUCUCAGCCACUGACUUUCCUAGUAUGAAUUUUUUUUUUUUUAUUAAUUUUGCAUGACCUAUCCCUUUAGGUUUUUAAAAGACUGAAAGCCCCUCAGCAACACUUCAACCCUAACGUCCUAAGUCAAGCAGCACCACCACACAGAGGAACCACUAACCACGUCAGACAUUAACAUUAAGAGAAAGAACAGAGUGGCUUUGUGGAGACAUCUGAGAAAGUAGUUAUCGUUCCAGUCCAGAUUCCAUCAGCUCUGGGGAAAGGACAGGAGACUGGUGCUUACCUCGAAACAACAUAUCAGUGUCUAAGAAACUUAGGAGCAGUUUGAUGCAGAAUCACCACAUUUAACGUGCAUUUGUUGCAAGUUAACUUCUAUGAUGCACAUCUUUUUUGACUGGCUAUUUCAAAAUAAAGCAUGGUGGUCACUUAUCCCAUACUAACUUAUAAGUUCACAAAAUGUGAGUUUUUUUCAACUACUUAGGCAAUCUGGUGGACAAUUGUGGCGUUUAAAACAAAAUAAAGGGCUUUUACUGAAACUAUUCUUUUUAAUAAUCUUGAUUAAAUAACUAAUAGCCACUGUUGACCCAUGACCAUAAAAAAAAAAGAGAUUUGUAGAUACCGGUAAUAGGUUUGAGAUGUAUAUAUAUUUUCAAUACUCAUGUUUCUUAGUUAUUGAAUCUUUAACAAAGGAAGUUUAGAGAAUAUAUAGAACCCAAUAAUUUUGAAUAAAUUUAACUGUAGGUAAAUAAGUACCAAUAAACGUGACCACGUAGAAAGCAUAUUUGUAUAAAACAUCCCUUACGAAAAUUAACCAUGGUUUUACUACAAAUGAAACCAAAAAACCAUGGUUACUAUAGUUAAACCAUGGUAACCUAAAAUUAACCAUGGUUUUGCUAUAUUAACCAUAGUUUAACCACUGUAUAUGUAGUAAAUCUGUGGUUAGACAAAUGGGAGUCAAUACGCCAAAAAAAAAAACAUGGGUUACUACGGUUUUACUAUAAUAAAACCAUGGUUAUUUUUCGUAAGGGAUAAGUAAAGAUCACUUUCAAUAGUAGUUUAAUUUAUGCCGGCAAACAAUAGUAAAACAACUGGAUUCAAAUAAUUGUGUAUCGUCAAAAACGAGAUUAGAGCCGAGAGAUUUAAGAUGGUAAAAUAUCUGUAACUUAUCGGUGGAUUUUUGCACCGUGUCGAUGAGAACAGUGGCGCGCUUUUAGCGGAGGUAAAUCUUUUUUGCUCCUCUCGGAGUUGGGAAAAAGCCAACAUCCCAAACAAGCAGCGUGUCUCCGUUUCAACGCCACUUCCAGAAGAACACGAUGACUCUUUAAUAUCUACCACAGAAAGGCGUUUCGUCGUACAGCUACGAACGCUUUCCCUUUUCCUGUCGAGGAUGGUGCUCGGAAGUUGUUGUUAUUGAAGAUCUUUCCUCUAUUGCGUUUUCUUCAGCAUGAGGCUUUAAGGGGGGCUUCCCUUUCUGGAUGAGAAUGCUGUUCAUAAGGGUUUUCUCUGCUGGCUGAAGACACAAGAGACUAAACAGAUAAAAAGAUUGGAGUCAACCCUAGCCAACUCUAUUCCUUCUUGAUGAAAAAAAGAUGUGUCCUAGAGACCAGGACUGGGAGUAAAAUAAUAAAAAGUGAUUGCCUAAAGAGCAACUCAGGAUGAGUGCACCGUGGGUGAUAUUAUUCUAACCAGGAAUGAUUACAUCCAGGUCUGCUUUCUCAGGAG